rnacentral:rRNA from 1 species
ACAUCCAGAGAACUUAGCAGAGAUGCUUUGGUGCCUUCGGGAACUCUGAGACAGGUGCUGCGUGGCUGUCGUCAGCUCGUGUUGUGAAAUGUUGGGUUAAGUCCCGCAACGAGCGCAACCCUUAUCUUUUGUGCCAGCGGCUCGGCCGGGAACUCAAAGGAGACUGCCGGUGAUAAACCGGAGGAAGGUGGGGAUGACGUCAAGUCAUCAUGGCCCUUACGGCCAGGGCUACACACGUGCUACAAUGGCGCAUACAAAGAGAAGCGACCUCGCGAGAGCAAGCGGACCUCACAAAGUGCGUCGUAGUCCGGAUUGGAGUCUGCAACUCGACUCCAUGAAGUCGGAAUCGCUAGUAAUCGUAGAUCAGAAUGCUACGGUGAAUACGUUCCCGGGCCUUGUACACACCGCCCGUCACACCAUGGGAGUGGGUUGCAAAAGAAGUAGGUAGCUUAACCUUCGGGAGGGCGCUUACCACUUUGUGAUUCAUGACUGGGGUGAAGUCGUAACAAGGUAAGCGUAGCGAG